rnacentral:rRNA from 1 species
AGACCCGAAACCCGGUGAUCUAGCCAUGGGCAGGUUGAAGGUUGGGUAACACUAACUGGAGGACCGAACCGACUAAUGUUGAAAAAUUAGCGGAUGACCUGUGGCUGGGGGUGAAAGGCCAAUCAAACCGGGAGAUAGCUGGUUCUCCCCGAAAGCUAUUUAGGUAGCGCCUCGUGAAUUCAUCUCCGGGGGUAGAGCACUGUUUCGGCUAGGGGGCCAUCCCGGCUUACCAACCCGAUGCAAACUGCGAAUACCGGAGAAUGUUAUCACGGGAGACACACGGCGGGUGCUAACGUCCGUCGUGAAGAGGGAAACAACCCAGACCGCCAGCUAAGGUCCCAAAGUCAUGGUUAAGUGGGAAACGAUGUGGGAAGGCCCAGACAGCCAGGAUGUUGGCUUAGAAGCAGCCAUCAUUUAAAGAAAGCGUAAUAGCUCACUGGUCGAGUCGGCCUGCGCGGAAGAUGUAACGGGGCUAAACCAUGCACCGAAGCUGCGGCAGCGACACUCAGGUGUUGUUGGGUAGGGGAGCGUUCUGUAAGCCUGUGAAGGUGGCCUGUGAGGGUUGCUGGAGGUAUCAGAAGUGCGAAUGCUGACAUAAGUAACGAUAAAGCGGGUGAAAAGCCCGCUCGCCGGAAGACCAAGGGUUCCUGUCCAACGUUAAUCGGGGCAGGGUGAGUCGACCCCUAAGGCGAGGCCGAAAGGCGUAGUCGAUGGGAAACGGGUUAAUAUUCCCGUACUUGGUGUUACUGCGAAGGGGGGACGGAGAAGGCUAUGUUGGCCGGGCGACGGUUGUCCCGGUUUAAGCGUGUAGGUGUGUGUUCCAGGUAAAUCCGGUUCACUUUAACACUGAGGCGUGACGACGAGGCACUACGGUGCUGAAGCAACAAAUGCCCUGCUUCCAGGAAAAGCCUCUAAGCAUCAGGUAACAUCAAAUCGUACCCCAAACCGACACAGGUGGUCAGGUAGAGAAUACCAAGGCGCUUGAGAGAACUCGGGUGAAGGAACUAGGCAAAAUGGUGCCGUAACUUCGGGAGAAGGCACGCUGACAU